AGAGUUUGAUCCUGGCUCAGGACGAACGCUGGCGGCGUGCCUAAUACAUGCAAGUCGAACGCUUCUUUUUCCACCGGAGCUUGCUCCACCGGAAAAAGAAGAGUGGCGAACGGGUGAGUAACACGUGGGUAACCUGCCCAUCAGAAGGGGAUAACACUUGGAAACAGGUGCUAAUACCGUAUAACAAUCAAAACCGCAUGGUUUUGAUUUGAAAGGCGCUUUCGGGUGUCGCUGAUGGAUGGACCCGCGGUGCAUUAGCUAGUUGGUGAGGUAACGGCUCACCAAGGCCACGAUGCAUAGCCGACCUGAGAGGGUGAUCGGCCACAUUGGGACUGAGACACGGCCCAAACUCCUACGGGAGGCAGCAGUAGGGAAUCUUCGGCAAUGGACGAAAGUCUGACCGAGCAACGCCGCGUGAGUGAAGAAGGUUUUCGGAUCGUAAAACUCUGUUGUUAGAGAAGAACAAGGAUGAGAGUAACUGUUCAUCCCUUGACGGUAUCUAACCAGAAAGCCACGGCUAACUACGUGCCAGCAGCCGCGGUAAUACGUAGGUGGCAAGCGUUGUCCGGAUUUAUUGGGCGUAAAGCGAGCGCAGGCGGUUUCUUAAGUCUGAUGUGAAAGCCCCCGGCUCAACCGGGGAGGGUCAUUGGAAACUGGGAGACUUGAGUGCAGAAGAGGAGAGUGGAAUUCCAUGUGUAGCGGUGAAAUGCGUAGAUAUAUGGAGGAACACCAGUGGCGAAGGCGGCUCUCUGGUCUGUAACUGACGCUGAGGCUCGAAAGCGUGGGGAGCAAACAGGAUUAGAUACCCUGGUAGUCCACGCCGUAAACGAUGAGUGCUAAGUGUUGGAGGGUUUCCGCCCUUCAGUGCUGCAGCUAACGCAUUAAGCACUCCGCCUGGGGAGUACGACCGCAAGGUUGAAACUCAAAGGAAUUGACGGGGGCCCGCACAAGCGGUGGAGCAUGUGGUUUAAUUCGAAGCAACGCGAAGAACCUUACCAGGUCUUGACAUCCUUUGACCACUCUAGAGAUAGAGCUUCCCCUUCGGGGGCAAAGUGACAGGUGGUGCAUGGUUGUCGUCAGCUCGUGUCGUGAGAUGUUGGGUUAAGUCCCGCAACGAGCGCAACCCUUAUUGUUAGUUGCCAUCAUUCAGUUGGGCACUCUAGCAAGACUGCCGGUGACAAACCGGAGGAAGGUGGGGAUGACGUCAAAUCAUCAUGCCCCUUAUGACCUGGGCUACACACGUGCUACAAUGGGAAGUACAACGAGU
rnacentral:rRNA from 2 species